rnacentral:rRNA from 1 species
AGACCCGAAACCCGGUGAUCUAGCCAUGGGCAGGUUGAAGGUUGGGUAACACUAACUGGAGGACCGAACCGACUAAUGUUGAAAAAUUAGCGGAUGACCUGUGGCUGGGGGUGAAAGGCCAAUCAAACCGGGAGAUAGCUGGUUCUCCCCGAAAGCUAUUUAGGUAGCGCCUCGUGAAUUCAUCUCCGGGGGUAGAGCACUGUUUCGGCUAGGGGGCCAUCCCGGCUUACCAACCCGAUGCAAACUGCGAAUACCGGAGAAUGUUAUCACGGGAGACACACGGCGGGUGCUAACGUCCGUCGUGAAGAGGGAAACAACCCAGACCGCCAGCUAAGGUCCCAAAGUCAUGGUUAAGUGGGAAACGAUGUGGGAAGGCCCAGACAGCCAGGAUGUUGGCUUAGAAGCAGCCAUCAUUUAAAGAAAGCGUAAUAGCUCACUGGUCGAGUCGGCCUGCGCGGAAGAUGUAACGGGGCUAAACCAUGCACCGAAGCUGCGGCAGCGACGCUGAUGCGUUGUUGGGUAGGGGAGCGUUCUGUAAGCCGUUGAAGGUGGCCUGUGAGGGUUGCUGGAGGUAUCAGAAGUGCGAAUGCUGACAUAAGUAACGAUAAAGCGGGUGAAAAGCCCGCUCGCCGGAAGACCAAGGGUUCCUGUCCAACGUUAAUCGGGGCAGGGUGAGUCGACCCCUAAGGCGAGGCCGAAAGGCGUAGUCGAUGGGAAACGGGUUAAUAUUCCCGUACUUGGUGUUACUGCGAAGGGGGGACGGAGAAGGCUAUGUUGGCCGGGCGACGGUUGUCCCGGUUUAAGCGUGUAGGUGUGUGUUCCAGGUAAAUCCGGUUCACUUUAACACUGAGGCGUGACGACGAGGCACUACGGUGCUGAAGCAACAAAUGCCCUGCUUCCAGGAAAAGCCUCUAAGCAUCAGGUAACAUCAAAUCGUACCCCAAACCGACACAGGUGGUCAGGUAGAGAAUACCAAGGCGCUUGAGAGAACUCGGGUGAAGGAACUAGGCAAAAUGGUGCCGUAACUUCGGGAGAAGGCACGCUGACACGUAGGUGAAGUGAUUUACUCAUGGAGCUGAAGUCAGUCGAAGAUACCAGCUGGCUGCAACUGUUUAUUAAAAACACAGCACUGUGCAAACACGAAAGUGGACGUAUACGGUGUGACGCCUGCCCGGUGCCGGAAGGUUAAUUGAUGGGGUCAGCGCAAGCGAAGCUCCUGAUCGAAGCCCCGGUAAACGGCGGCCGUAACUAUAACGGUCCUAAGGUAGCGAAAUUCCUUGUCGGGUAAGUUCCGACCUGCACGAAUGGCGUAAUGAUGGCCAGGCUGUCUCCACCCGAGACUCAGUGAAAUUGAACUCGCUGUGAAGAUGCAGUGUACCCGCGGCAAGACGGAAAGACCCCGUGAACCUUUACUAUAGCUUGACACUGAACAUUGAGCCUUGAUGUGUAGGAUAGGUGGGAGGCUUUGAAGUGUGGACGCCAGUCUGCAUGGAGCCGACCUUGAAAUACCACCCUUUAAUGUUUGAUGUUCUAACGUGGACCCGUAAUCCGGGUUGCGGACAGUGUCUGGUGGGUAGUUUGACUGGGGCGGUCUCCUCCUAAAGAGUAACGGAGGAGCACGAAGGUUGGCUAAUCCUGGUCGGACAUCAGGAGGUUAGUGCAAUGGCAUAAGCCAGCUUGACUGCGAGCGUGACGGCGCGAGCAGGUGCGAAAGCAGGUCAUAGUGAUCCGGUGGUUCUGAAUGGAAGGGCCAUCGCUCAACGGAUAAAAGGUACUCCGGGGAUAACAGGCUGAUACCGCCCAAGAGUUCAUAUCGACGGCGGUGUUUGGCACCUCGAUGUCGGCUCAUCACAUCCUGGGGCUGAAGUAGGUCCCAAGGGUAUGGCUGUUCGCCAUUUAAAGUGGUACGCGAGCUGGGUUUAGAACGUCGUGAGACAGUUCGGUCCCUAUCUGCCGUGGGCGCUGGAGAACUGAGGGGGGCUGCUCCUAGUACGAGAGGACCGGAGUGGACGCAUCACUGGUGUUCGGGUUGUCAUGCCAAUGGCACUGCCCGGUAGCUAAAUGCGGAAGAGAUAAGUGCUGAAAGCAUCUAAGCACGAAACUUGCCCCGAG